rnacentral:rRNA from 1 species
UAACGCGUGAGGAACCUGCCUUGAAGAGGGGGACAACAGUUGGAAACGACUGCUAAUACCGCAUGACGCAUAGAGGUCGCAUGAUCUUUAUGCCAAAGAUUUAUCGCUUCAAGAUGGCCUCGCGUCUGAUUAGCUAGUUGGCGGGGUAACGGCCCACCAAGGCGACGAUCAGUAGCCGGACUGAGAGGUUGAACGGCCACAUUGGGACUGAGAUACGGCCCAGACUCCUACGGGAGGCAGCAGUGGGGAAUAUUGGGCAAUGGGCGCAAGCCUGACCCAGCAACGCCGCGUGAAGGAAGAAGGCUUUCGGGUUGUAAACUUCUUUUAAGAGGGAAGAGCAGAAGACGGUACCUCUAGAAUAAGCCACGGCUAACUACGUGCCAGCAGCCGCGGUAAUACGUAGGUGGCAAGCGUUGUCCGGAUUUACUGGGUGUAAAGGGCGUGCAGCCGGGUCUGCAAGUCAGAUGUGAAAUCCAUGGGCUCAACCCAUGAACUGCAUUUGAAACUGUAGAUCUUGAGUGUCGGAGGGGCAAUCGGAAUUCCUAGUGUAGCGGUGAAAUGCGUAGAUAUUAGGAGGAACACCAGUGGCGAAGGCGGAUUGCUGGACGAUAACUGACGGUGAGGCGCGAAAGUGUGGGGAGCAAACAGGAUUAGAUACCCUGGUAGUCCACACUGUAAACGAUGAAUACUAGGUGU